AGAAUGUAUGAAUUGCACGAAGCUCACAGACAUGACAGAAAGGCUGAAUAUCUUAGAAGCCAAAAUCCUUUUACUUGAGGCUGCAGAACGAGUUUCACCUUCAGACAAUGAUCUUCCGAUGACGAGAACUACAGCCACUUGGUAUGAUGAUUUGGUGCCUGAUGCUAUUCCACUAGCUAAUCCAGGAACAGCCCUGAGGAAACCAGCGGGACCUGUUGGACUCCCGGGACCAGCUGGGAAACCAGGACUGCAAGGGCCGAAAGGGGAAAAGGGAGAGGUUGGUGAAAGAGGACCGGCUGGACCACCAGG